UACGAAGGGGGCUAGCGUUGCUCGGAAUCACUGGGCGUAAAGCGCACGUAGGCGGGUUCUUAAGUCAGGGGUGAAAUCCUGGAGCUCAACUCCAGAACUGCCUUUGAUACUGGGAAUCUCGAGUCCGGGAGAGGUGAGUGGAACUGCGAGUGUAGAGGUGAAAUUCGUAGAUAUUCGCAAGAACACCAGUGGCGAAGGCGGCUGACUGGUCCGGAUCUGACGCUGAGGCGCGAAAGCGUGGGGAGCAAACAGG
rnacentral:rRNA from 1 species